rnacentral:rRNA from 1 species
UACGGAGGGGGCUAGGCGUUGUUCGGAAUUACUGGGCGUAAAGGCGCGCGUAGGCGGCUUUGGUAAGUUAGAGGUGAAAGCCCGGAGCUCAAACCUCCGGGAAUUGCCUUUAAGACUGCAUCGCUAGAAUCAUGGAGAGGUGAAGUGGAAUUCCGAGUGUAGAGGUGAAAUUCGUAGAUAGUUCGGAAAGAACACCAGUGGCGAAGGGCGG